CUCCACAUGUUUUGAUUGAAUUUUAAAUUUUCAACUCAAUUAAUGUGAACAAUUAAUAGUAAUUAUAUCAUCUAAUUUAAUUGUUUCGAAUGUAAAUAGAUAAAUAGAUUACUUGAAGAUAACUCAAAAUGGACGAAAAUGUUAAAGAAAAGCGUAAAAUAAAGGCUGGUGCCUUUCAAAGUUUCUCAUUCAGUCGACCUUUGCUAAAUGCUAUCAUUCGUAAAGGAUAUAAAACACCAACACCGAUUCAACGUAAAACAAUACCACUCAUAUUAGAUGGUAAAGAUGUCAUUGGUAUGUCCAGAACUGGUAGUGGUAAAACAUUGGCUUUUCUUGGACCCAUGAUUGAAAAGUUAUCUCGUGACUCAGGUAGAAGUUGUAUUAAAGGUCUUAUAUUGUCUCCAACAAGAGAACUUGCAACUCAAACAUAUAAAGUUUUCAAAGAUCUCAACAGAGGAACUGGAUUAAAGGCUAUUUGUAUUCUUGGUGGUGAUGCUUUGGAAAAACAUUUUGCCUCCAUGCACACAGUUCCAGAUUUACUGAUUGCUACACCAGGUCGUCUUCUUCACGUUCUAGUUGAAAUGGACAUGAAAUUACCCGAUAUUACAACAUUGGUCUUGGAUGAAUGUGAUAGACUUUUCGAGAUGGGUUUCAGUGAACAAAUGACCGAGAUCAUUAGACGAUUACCUGAACACCGACAAACUUUACUAUUUUCAGCAACUUUACCUCAUUCAGUAGUUGAAUUUGUUAAAGUUGGUCUUCAUGAUCCAGUUCUUGUUAGGUUAGAUGUUGAAUCUAAAUUAUCAGAGAAUUUAACUUCUUGCUUAAUCUAUUGCCGAGAUUCUGAAAAGAUCGCCUUAUUAAUGUAUUUACUACGUUUUGUUAUCAAACCAAAUUCAAUGACUGUUGUUUUCACUUCAACCCGUCACCAUGUUGAAUAUCUUGCUGCAAUUCUGGAAAAGGCUUCAAUCCAGUGUACAACAGUUUAUAAUGCAAUGGACCAAGAAGCUCGAAAAGGAAACACAGACCUAUUUCGAAGUGGAAAAGUAAAAACAAUGAUUGUCACCGAUCUUGCCGCUCGUGGUAUUGAUAUACCCUUUCUAGACAAUGUGAUUAACUUUAAUUUCCCAGGAAAACCUAAACUUUACGUUCACCGAGUAGGUAGAGUUGCUCGAGCUGGUCGUAGUGGUACAGCUUAUUCACUGAUUUCCACAGAUGAAUUACCUUAUCUACAAGAGCUUUACUUUUUCUUGGGUCGAUCGUUUAAAAUUGCAACUAAUCAGUCACAACUUGAAGAUUCUCUUAUUGGUAAAGCACCUCAAUCAAUUAUUGAUGAAGAAUGUGACACUUUAACCAAAUGGCAUGAUUCAUUUAUCGACCUACAAGGGAUGAGGAAAGUUUGCGAGAAUGCAACUCAACAGUACAUUAAAACUCGAGCAGUUCCUAUUGUCGAAGCUGUUAAAAAGGCUAAAGAAUUAUCUAAGGCUCAAAUGUCCAUUCAUCCGAUUUUCAAAUUAAACUCAACGAUACCUGAAGAGGAAGAAAAGAGAGACGAUUUUCUAUCAUCAUUGAAAAGUUUCAAACCAAAAUCAACCAUAUUUGAAAUUGGAACAAAUAAGAAAGAUUAUGCUGAUAUAAUGAAUCGUAAAAGAGAUAAACAUGAUAAAAUAGUGGCCAAGGCUCGACGAGCUGCCGAAACUACCGAAGUUGAAGAAGAGAAAGAUUAUAAAGAUGAAAGUUUCUUCCUUCCCUAUCGAUCCAAUGACCAUUAUUCUGAAAAAGGACUCGGAAUUGAGAAUAGUUUUACUAAAGAUUUGAAUGAUGCCGUUUUCGAUAUCGGAGGCGAUGAUCAAAAGACACUUAAUAAGCCAAAAUCAACCACUAAAUGGGAUCGUAAAAAGAAAAAGUUUGUUGGUUCUGAGUCAAAUGAUCCUAAAAAGAAAAAGAUUAAGACAGAAUCUGGAGCUUGGAUUUCGGCCUCAUAUAAAUCUAAUCUGUACAAGAAAUGGCAAGAGAAAAGUAGAGCAGAACAACAAGAAGAAGAUGCAUAUGAUGGUCAAGAGGAAGGUGAAGGAGAUGAUGUCCAAGAAGCGAUUCGUCAACGAGAUCAAGAUAUCAAUAAGAAAAUGGGCGGAAGAAAAACACGUAAAGGAUCGAGUAGAGGUCGUGGUGGUCAACGGGUUAAAAGUGAACUUAAAAGUAAAGCUGACCUUCUUAAAGAAAGACUGGCCAUGGAUAAGAAGAAAAAAUUUAUGCAAUGGAGACGAAAAGAGAAGCUCAAAAAGAAAGGAAAAUCAAAACAAUAAACUGGUGCAAUUUUGUAAUAUAUUAUAUAAAUUUGUACUUUUCGAAAAGAAAGAUUCAUCUAUUCCAAAGGAGUUUCUCUCUUUAUUUUUCUCACUCUCCCCUUUUUUUUAUUCCAAUCAAAUUGAAAAUUCCUCAAAGGGCAAUGUCCACCCUAUCGUGACUGAGCUUUUUUUCUUGUGCGUUGUAAUAUCUCAUCAAAUGAUGAUGAUGAUGAUCAUCAUCAUAAGGAGAGAAAAUCUCUUUUCUCUUCUUCUUUUUUUGCUUCUCCAUCUUCAUCUUUUUACCUUAGCUUAUUAUUAUUCUAUGUCGAUCAAUAUGUCAUCUAAUCUUAACUAAAAGUCACAAUUACAUGAUUAUGAUGAUUGGUUAAAACUAACGAACGAGAGUAUCAAUCAGUGAAGGACCGAAUUUGUUUACAAUCAGAUUAUCUAAUUGCUCUCAGCUGACUUUGUGUACAUUCACUGGAGGAAUGACAAGUUACAUCUUUGUCAAUUUUUACCUGAUCUUAUAUCGACUCUCAUGACCAUAAAUACACAUGAUGAUUACCUUGCUGAUUGGACUGCAAUUAAAAGAUGAAUAUGAUUGAUUUUCAACAAUCAAUUUGUAUUUCAAUGGAAUAAGAAGAGAAAGAAAAAAAAAGGAUUGGAAUUGGAUGAGAAGGGUAUGAUCACGAAGAAAAAUAUCUUUUCUUCUGUUGAUUUGAUUAACUAAUCAAUGAUUAGUUUAUUGACCCUUUACUUUUUUCUCUCUCUCUCUCUUUUAUUAAUCAAAUCAACUAAUCAACCAGCAAUCUUUUAAAUACGAUUCUUGUUACUUUUUCAAUGGUUUUGCCAUUUUACCUUUUCCGAAAAGCUAUCAUAUUAAUAAUUAACCAAUUCUGUUGCCUAUCUAAAUUUUCACUCAGAAUGUUGGGUUAAUUUUCUCAUCCUUUGCAAUUUUGUUCAACCACAAAAUGAUUAAUUGUAUAAUUUAACAUCUCUGAUGAGAGUGAGAGAGAAAGUUAAUUGUAGAAAGCAAUGAAAACUUUUAAAAUUAACAUGAAGAUGCAAUUGAAACAUCUUAUCAAGUGGAUUA